rnacentral:rRNA from 1 species
AUUGAACGCUGGCGGCAGGCCUAACACAUGCAAGUCGAGCGGCAGUGGGAAAGUAGCUUGCUACUUUUGCCGGCGAGCGGCGGACGGGUGAGUAAUGCCUGGGAAAUUGCCCAGUCGAGGGGGAUAACAGUUGGAAACGACUGCUAAUACCGCAUACGCCCUACGGGGGAAAGCAGGGGACCUUCGGGCCUUGCGCGAUUGGAUAUGCCCAGGUGGGAUUAGCUAGUUGGUGAGGUAAUGGCUCACCAAGGCGACGAUCCCUAGCUGGUCUGAGAGGAUGAUCAGCCACACUGGAACUGAGACACGGUCCAGACUCCUACGGGAGGCAGCAGGGGUGAAUAUUGCACAAUGGGGGAAACCCUGAUGCAGCCAUGCCGCGUGUGUGAAGAAGGCCUUCGGGUUGUAAAGCACUUUCAGCGAGGAGGAAAGGUUGAUGCCUAAUACGUAUCAACUGUGACGUUACUCGCAGAAGAAGCACCGGCUAACUCCGUGCCAGCCGCCGCCGUAAUAC